UAAGGAAUAUUGGUCAAUGGAGGCAACUCUGAACCAGCCAUGCCGCGUGCAGGAAGAAGGCCCUAUGGGUCGUAAACUGCUUUUUGAACAAGAGAAAACCCCGGUACGUGUACUGGGUUGAUAGUAUUGUUAGAAUAAGCAUCGGCUAACUUCGUGCCAGCAGCCGCGGUAAGACGAAGGAUGCAAGCGUUAUCCGGAUUCAUUGGGUUUAAAGGGUGCGUAGGCGGACUGAUAAGUCAGUGGUGAAAUCUCUCGGCUUAACCGAGAAACUGCCAUUGAUACUGUUAGUCUAGAGUACGGAUGAUGUGGGCGGAAUAUGACAUGUAGUGGUGAAAUACUUAGAUAUGUCAUAGAACACCGAUUGCGAAGGCAGCUCACAAAACUGUAACUGACGCUGAGGCACGAAAGUGCGGGGAUCAAACAGGAUUAGAUACCCCGGUAGUCCCUGAGCGGGCUGGCAAGGCGCAU
rnacentral:rRNA from 1 species